UGUUCUCUCGCAUCUCCCUGCAGCAUCGUAAAGCUGUUGAAAGCUCAGAUUUAUGGUGUGAUAAACGCUAGGGGCUCUGCUGAAUGUUUUACUGCUCCAUCCUUUGGAGAGCAGCGGGCGGCACACCCAGCAGCAUCGCUGCCCGGCUCCAGCUGCAGGACAGCGCAUCCCAUGGGAUGGGGACGGCUGGGAGCCGUGCUGUGCCCCAGGGUUUUGCUGUAAAUCAACAACACCAGCUCCCCCCCACACCCCUCAGAGCAUCCUCCCUGUGCUGCCGUGGGUGAUACCAGCUGGAGGAGCCCCCCCACCUUCCACUUUGCCAUCACCCCGCCAUGAGAAUGGGGAUGAAACCGGCGUGGCAGGAGUUAUUCAAAGGCGGGCGGAAGCGAGCGCAGCAACUGAAACAACAAUGAAAAGGAAACGGAGCUCGGAAAAUUCUCCGUUCAUAAAUCAAGUGAACUGCAGGUGAUCCCUGGGCAGCAGCGAGCCAGGGAAAAGGCAUGGAUCAGCACGGCCCAUGGCCUGGAAGCAGGGAUGGGGGUGGCUCUGGGUGAUGCUGGGGUUGCGGUCCGUGUCCCUGCACAUUGGGGGCUUUGGGGCAGGUGAGGUGCAAGUACCACUGCGCUGAUUUAUAAUACCUGUGAGCAAAUCUGGGUGUUAGAGGUGAAGGUGAAGCUGCUUUCUGCAGUGGGGAUAGUGUCACACACACGUACAU